ACUUUAUUAGGAGUUCCUCUCUUGAGAUCAUAUGUAGAUGAUCCAAGUGGUUCCUUUGGAAUAGGCAACAAGCACAAGACAAAAGUAAUAAGCAAAUAAGCAGGUUCAAAAAAGAACAAAGCUGGAAAUGGAUUGCUAAUAAAUGGUCUUACGUCCAACUCCACAAAGCAACAUGGGAAACAUAUAACCAAUCAAUGGUCUUACAUCUAACUCCACAAAAAGAAACAAAAUAGGAAACAGAUA
rnacentral:lncRNA from 1 species